AGAGUUUGAUCCUGGCUCAGGACGAACGCUGGCGGCGUGCCUAACACAUGCAAGUCGAACGGGGUUAGCCCUUUCGGGACUAACUUAGUGGCGAACGGGUGAGUAACGCGUGAAGAACCUGCCUUUCAGUGGGGGACAACAGUUGGAAACGACUGCUAAUACCGCAUGACACUUCUUGGGGGCAUCCCUGAGAAGUCAAAGCUUUAUGUGCUGAAAGAUGGCUUCGCGUCUGAUUAGCUAGUUGGCGGGGUAACGGCCCACCAAGGCGACGAUCAGUAGCCGGUCUGAGAGGAUGAACGGCCACAUUGGGACUGAGAUACGGCCCAGACUCCUACGGGAGGCAGCAGUGGGGAAUAUUGGGCAAUGGGGGAAACCCUGACCCAGCAACGCCGCGUGAAGGAAGAAGGCCCUCGGGUUGUAAACUUCUUUUACCAGGGACGAAGGACGUGACGGUACCUGGAGAAAAAGCAACGGCUAACUACGUGCCAGCAGCCGCGGUAAUACGUAGGUUGCAAGCGUUGUCCGGAUUUACUGGGUGUAAAGGGCGUGUAGGCGGAGGAGCAAGUCAGAUGUGAAAUCCAUGGGCUUAACUCAUGAACUGCAUUUGAAACUGUUCCCCUUGAGUAUCGGAGAGGCAAGCGGAAUUCCUAGUGUAGCGGUGAAAUGCGUAGAUAUUAGGAGGAACACCAGUGGCGAAGGCGGCUUGCUGGACGACAACUGACGCUGAGGCGCGAAAGCGUGGGGAGCAAACAGGAUUAGAUACCCUGGUAGUCCACGCUGUAAACGAUGAAUACUAGGUGUGGGAGGACUGGCCCCUUCCGUGCCGCAGUUAACACAAUAAGUAUUCCACCUGGGGAGUACGACCGCAAGGUUGAAACUCAAAGGAAUUGACGG
rnacentral:rRNA from 1 species